rnacentral:rRNA from 1 species
UACAGAGGUCUCAAGCGUUGUUCGGAUUCAUUGGGCGUAAAGGGUGUGUAGGUGGCGCGCUAAGUCGGGUGUGAAAUUUCGGAGCUUAACUCCGAAACUGCAUUCGAUACUGGCGUGCUUGAGGACUGGAGAGGAGACUGGAAUUCAUGGUGUAGCAGUGAAAUGCGUAGAGAUCAUGAGGAAGACCAGUGGCGAAGGCGGGUCUCUGGACAGUUCCUGACACUGGGGAGCGAAAGCAUGGGGAGCGAACAGG